rnacentral:rRNA from 1 species
CUUUCGGGCUGAGUAGAGCGGCGGACGGGUGAGUAACGCGUAGGAAUCUACCUGGUAGUGGGGGACAACUUGGGGAAACUCAAGCUAAUACCGCAUACGCCCUAAGGGGGAAAGCGGGGGACCUUCGGGCCUCGCGCUAUCGGAUGAGCCUGCGUAGGUUAGCUAGUUGGUGGGGUAAAGGCCCACCAAGGCGACGAUCCUUAGCUGGUCUGAGAGGAUGAUCAGCCACACUGGAACUGAGACACGGUCCAGACUCCUACGGGAGGCAGCAGUGGGGAAUAUUGCGCAAUGGGCGAAAGCCUGACGCAGCCAUGCCGCGUGUGUGAAGAAGGCCUUAGGGUUGUAAAGCACUUUCAAUUGGGAAGAAAAGUUUGUCGUUAAUAGCGCCAAGCUCUGACAUUACCUUUAGAAGAAGCACCGGCUAACUCCGUGCCAGCAGCCGCGGUAAUACGGAGGGUGCGAGCGUUAAUCGGAAUUACUGGGCGUAAAGCGCGCGUA